rnacentral:rRNA from 1 species
UACGGGGGGGGCAAGCGUUGUUCGGAAUUACUGGGCGUAAAGGGCGCGUAGGCGGUCAGCACAAGUCAGUUGUGAAAUCUCCGGGCUCAACUGGGAGAGGUCCUUGCAUACUGGCAAACUCGAGGGAGGCAGAGGAAAGUGGAAUUCCCGGUGUAGUGGUGAUAUGCGUAGAUAUCGGGAGGAACACCUGUGGCGAAGGCGGCUUUCUGGGCCUUACCUGACGCUGAGACGCGAAAGCGUGGGGAGCGAACCGG